AGAUGAUGCAAAAGCAUACCUUUUUAUGUCUUGAUUUCACUGGUGAAGUCUCUGCACCAUGAGUAAAAGAAGAGAGUUUCCUGCUUCUCAAAGUCUGUUUAUGUUCUCGUCUCCCGAUAUUGGACUUGGGCCAAGCCCAAAUAUUCAGUUUGUAUAUGACCAGGCCCAAAAUUAAAAACUAAGCAGCACAACCAGGAGAGGAAACCUAGAGAGAGAAUUUGCUGAGGAGUCGAAGAAAACAGUGGUGAGUGAAAGGGAAACGGGAAGAAAAUGGGAAGCGAGGCAACAAGCAGUGGUAGUGCCAACAGUGGAGGAUUCAAGUCAAGAGUACAGCGUUACUUGUAUAGUGGAGACACAAAGCAUGUCAUGGCUGGCAUGGCCGUCAUAACUCUUGUCUUUGGUGUCCCUUGGUUCCUCAUGAACAGAGGAACAAAGCACUCGUCUCAUCAAGAUUACAUGGAAAAGGCUGAUCAAGCAAGGCGUGACAGACUUUCUUCAGGUUCUGCUGCUACAUGAUUUUUGUGAUCGCUUUCUUCAAGGUAUUAGUUUCAAGUGAUCAUUUUAACAGUGGAAAAGUACAAGGAGUUUUGAUUGUUCUUUUCAUCCACCCUCUUUGGCCAUGGCUAAUUUUCAGGUCAAGGAGUGGAUCUAUAUUUGUGUUAUAAGAUGCCAUGUGCAAAUGUUUAUGAGAUGAAUUGAAAUUUUUCUGAGCAGGCAAAUCCAAAUAGAAUUCUUGCUUGGAUUCUUGUUUUGUUA